AAUCAACGCUGGCGGCGUGCCUCAGACAUGCAAGUCGCACGCAGUCUUCGGACUGAGUGGCGCACGGGUGAGUAACACGUAACUGACCUACCCCCAAGUCGCGAAUAACCAGCCGAAAGGAUGGCUAAUACGUGAUGUGAUGAUCCGCUGUGGCGGAUCAUUAAAGACUUGAUCGCUUGGGGAUGGGGUUGCGUUCCAUCAGCUAGUUGGUAAGGUAAAGGCUUACCAAGGCAACGACGGAUAGCCGGCCUGAGAGGGUGGCCGGCCACAGGGGAACUGAUACACGGGUCCCAGUCCUACGUGAGGCAGCAGUUAGGAAUCUUCCACAAUGGGCGCAAGCCUGAUGGAGCGACGCCGCGUGAGGGAUGAAGGUUCUCGGAUCGUAAACCUCUGAACCAACGACGAAAGACCCGACAAGGGAGAUGACGGUAGUUGGGUAAUAGCACCGGCUAACUCCGUGCCAGCCGCCGCCGUAAAAC
rnacentral:rRNA from 1 species